GUCAUGCGCCGGACGGCCGCUCUUGUCUUAUGGCAGGGGAGGAAAGUCCGAACACCGUUUCUUGCCAAAAGCAUGAAUCAGAGAUAGCGGGUAACGCCCGCCCCGAGCAUAUAAUUUUUAUGUGCUUGGCGAGAUAGUGCCACAGAAACUAUACCGCCGAUCAUCACCUGUUUGAGUUUAAAGCUCGAGCCGUUGAGGAGGUAAGGGUGAAAAGAGUGAGGUAAAAGCUCACAGCGUUUCGCAGCAAUGCGAGGCGAAGGAAAACACUUAUCCGGUGCAAGGCCGCGCCCCGCAGCUGCGGGGAGUGCCGCUUGAGUCCGAGAGCAAUCGAGGACCCAGAUAGAUGGCCGUCCCCCGCUGUUCAUUGAUUUAUUUCAAUGAGGAGCGGGGACAGAAUUCGGCUUAUAGGCGCAUGACAAAA
rnacentral:RNase_P_RNA from 1 species